rnacentral:misc_RNA from 1 species
UCAAAGUAUCAAGCUUGGCUUGUUGUUGGACCCCUUUGUCACCUGGUGACAGGUCCAAAAGAUAAUGACCGGUGUCGUAACGACGCUAUGUGCAACGAGCUUAUAACAGCACGCAUUUAGUAGUCAUAUGGCCCGGUUCCCACCCCUUUAUUUCUCAA